rnacentral:rRNA from 1 species
UUACGGGAGGCAGCAGUGGGGAAUAUUGGACAAUGGGCGCAAGCCUGAUCCAGCAAUGCCGCGUGAGUGAGGAAGGCCUUAGGGUUGUAAAGCUCUUUCGGCGGGGACGAUGAUGACGGUACCCGCAGAAGAAGCCCCGGCUAACUUCGUGCCAGCAGCCGCGGUAAUACGAAGGGGGCGAGCGUUGUUCGGAUUUACUGGGCGUAAAGGGCGCGCAGGCGGCGGACCAAGUCAGGCGUGAAAGCCCCGGGCUCAACCUGGGAACUGCGCCUGGGACUGGUUUGCUGGAGUUCGGGAGAGGAGCGUGGAAUUCCCAGUGUAGAGGUGAAAUUCGUAGAUAUUGGGAAGAACACCGGUGGCGAAGGCGGCGCUCUGGACCGAUACUGACGCUGAGGCGCGAAAGCGUGGGGAGCAAACAGGAUUAGAUACCCCGGUAGC